ACUGGCUUUGUGGUGCCACCAUAUAUAGUGCUCUUCUCAUUGACCACCAAUGAAAGAGGUGCCCCUUCAGGAAGUGUGGUUGGGGCUGGAUACAUGGGCUCAGGGGGCCACAUUGACUCACGGGACAUAGUUUGGGGACCCCUGCCCUAGACUAAGAUCAGAAUCAGACUGUGAUUUCUGGAAGCUGAUGAUUCUGUCUCCUCUGCUACUGGCUUUCAGGACUUGGCAAAGUGAACUAUUUUUGGCCUGGCUAGGACUUCACUUCAGCACAGACUUGAAAGGGCCAAACCUAUGGACUUCUGAGCCUUGCUUCAGGCUGGUGCCAGGGCAUAUGACUUCAAGGAGAGUUCUAAAGAAGGGUCCCAAUGCUUUGAAUGGACUCUAAAUAAAAGAUUUCUAUGAACUCAAUGGUCACAAGCUUAUCAGAAAGCAAUAUGGUAUGCUCUACAUCACGGUGGAGAGUGGGUGAUUUGACAG
rnacentral:lncRNA from 1 species